rnacentral:rRNA from 1 species
UACGUAGGGGGCGAGCGUUAAUCGGAAUUACUGGGCGUAAAGCGUGCGCAGGCGGUUCGUUGUGUCGGCGGUGAAAGCCCCGGGCUCAACCUGGGAAUGGCCGUUGAAACUGGCGAACUGGAGUGUGGCAGAGGGGGGUGGAAUUCCGCGUGUAGCAGUGAAAUGCGUAGAGAUGCGGAGGAACACCGAUGGCGAAGGCAGCCCCCUGGGCUGACACUGACGCUCAGGCACGAAAGCGUGGGGAGCAAACCGG